rnacentral:rRNA from 1 species
CAACCUACCUUAACCAGGGGGAUAGCCUCUCGAAAGAGAGAUUAACACCGCAUAACAUUGUGAUAUGGCAUCAUAUUGCAAUCAAAUAUUUAUAGGGUUGAGAUGGGCAUGCGUGACAUUAGCUGGUUGGUAAGGUAACGGCUUACCAAGGCGACGAUGUCUAGGGGAUCUGAGAGGAUGACCCCCCACACUGGUACUGAGACACGGACCAG